ACAGACGGUCGCGUGGCCAGGCCGAAAGGCCGGUCAUGAGGAAAGUCCGGGCUCCACAGGGCAAGGAUAACGGGUAACGCCCGCCCAGAGCGAUCUGAGGAAAAGUGCAACAGAGAUAUACCGCCCCGUCCCCCAAAGCAAAGUGGGGCCCCCACAAAAACGCAGUUUUUGCGGGGAGAGGAGGCGCAGCGUCAUGACUGCGCCCUGCCGCUUGCGGCAGGGCAAGGGAUAUGAAGCUUGCGCCGACGAGGUAAGGGUGGAAAGGCGAGGUAAGAGCUCACCCGUCACACGGGAACGUCGUGACGCUGUAAACUCUAUCCGGAGCAACACCGUGGCGCGGAAGCAACAGGCCUGCCCGGCCGCUUCCAGGAGGUGGCUUGAGCGUACUGGCAACAGUGCGUCGAGAUAGAUGACCGUCCAAUACAGAACCCGGCUUACAGUUUUGCUCG
rnacentral:RNase_P_RNA from 1 species